rnacentral:rRNA from 1 species
CCCCGCCCAGACCAGCGGGUUGAUAGGCCGGAGGUGGAAGCGCCGCGAGGCGUGGAGCUGACCGGUACUAAUAGGCCGAGGACUUGACCA